AGUGCAUAACACCAGAGUCCAGAGAAGAAUAAUACAAACAAAGAGAAAUGUGCAUCAUCAUUCGCAUUCACUCUUAUGGACAGAUAUAUGCAUGUUGACUUAAUGGAAUCAAGCCACAUGCAUCUAUAAAUCUAACUAAGGGCAAGGAUUCUGGUUUUAUAGAUUAAUCUUUUUAGAACUGGAUGCACAUUCAGCCUGAUCUUUGGGGGUUUCCUUUUAUACAUAUGAUUCCAGGCUUUCUUUAGAAAAGGUCUCCAGAAGCACCAGGGCAUUGUACCACACCACCAUGUUGUUUACAUUUUACAAGGGGCAUAAAAUAAUUGCAUAUCACAUAGAUACAAAAUUCAUGAUACAUCAAUAACUAAGAGCAAAAA